rnacentral:rRNA from 1 species
GACGAACGCUGGCGGCGUGCCUAAUACAUGCAAGUAGAACGCUGAAGGAGGAGCUUGCUUCUCCGGAUGAGUUGCGAACGGGUGAGUAACGCGUAGGUAACCUGCCUGGUAGCGGGGGAUAACUAUUGGAAACGAUAGCUAAUACCGCAUAAGAGUAGAUGUUGCAUGACAUUUGCUUAAAAGGUGCAAUUGCAUCACUACCAGAUGGACCUGCGUUGUAUUAGCUGGUUGGUGGGGUAACGGCUCACCAAGGCGACGAUACAUAGCCGACCUGAGAGGGUGAUCGGCCACACUGGGACUGAGACACGGCCCAGACUCCUACGGGAGGCAGCAGUAGGGAAUCUUCGGCAAUGGACGGAAGUCUGACCGAGCAACGCCGCGUGAGUGAAGAAGGUUUUCGGAUCGUAAAGCUCUGUUGUAAGAGAAGAACGAGUGUGAGAGUGGAAAGUUCACACUGUGACGGUAUCUUACCAGAAAGGGACGGCUAACUACGUG